GGCAGUAGCAAGUGAGAACUUUGAAGACCGAAGUGGAGAAGGGUUCCAUGUGAACAGCACAUGGGUCAGUCGAUUGUGAGAACGAAGCGAAACCCUAGGCGCAGCGAUGUUCGCGCGGUCCUUGUCGCACGACCAGCACGCCGUACCGUUCGAAAGGGAAUCCGGUUGAAAUUCCGGAACCAAGACACGGAGAUGUACAUCCGCGGCUGCGGUUUUCGUGGCCUCAGCGGCGACGGCGGCGGUGCUUCGUCGAACGGCCCUCGUGAUUACAAGUAUGCGGGACAGGUGCGCGCGGUAACGCUCCUGAUCUUGGUGAGCACCCAUCGGCAGUUCUUCAUAAGGCACGAAGUCGCUGGAACCUGAUUGCCCGGAGAUAGCGACGAUGUCGCCGCAAAACGCCAUGUCUUCCAUUGUGUUCGGAAUGCUCUCGACGGUCCGUGAAAAGCCGAGCCACGGCGUAUAAAUUUGUGCUCGUUCGUACCGAUAUCCGCAGCAGAUCUCCAAUGUGAACAACCUCUGGCC
rnacentral:ncRNA from 1 species